GUCAGUGGUGAUGGAGCGGGGUGGGUGGGGAGGUUGCUGAGCAGUGCGUUGAUGUUCAACAGGUUUCACAGCCACCUCCAAAGCAGUGCAAUCCAGAUGAAGGACAGAGAAGUUAUGAAGGAUGCGUUCACCAACUUGUAGUCGCCAGGCAAUGGACGGGCACACUCAGGACCCAUUGGGACAGAUGCAGCACAGUGCAAAGCCAGCAAUGGCAUGUUGUAAGAUUGCACUUCCUGACAUCCCUGUGACUGGUGGGGCCCUGUGCCUAGUUGACAGUGGAAGGAACAUGUAACUUCUAGGUAGCUCUGCAAGAAGAAAUUGUUUGUGCAGUAGUAGCAGCGGUGGCGGUAGGGGCAUAGCAUAGCUCAUGAAGCAGGAAGCCUGGGGAUGCUGUACAGUACUGCUUCUUGUUAGCUGUGUGAUGUUGGACAACUCUCUACACUACUGAGUCCUAAUAUCUUCAUUAACCAAAGAUACCCAUGAAGAUGCAGAAAAAUCUUCACACUCUCAGCAAUUUAACAAUCUAAGGUAACAGGCACUAUAAUUCCAGAAGCAGGAAGUAAGAUGUCUAAAUUCUAAGAAAAUCAGAGCUGCGUUUAGAAAAACUCCUAAGGAUUCUACUUGAAGAGUUUCCUGGCUUUGCUGCCUCUGAUUAUACCCUCAAUACACAUUGCAAUACUCUAUUUUUGCAAUUAGUUUUUAUUUUGUUUUGUUUUGUUUUUAGAGACAGGAUCUUACUCUGACUUCCAGGCUAGAGUGUAGUGGCAUGAUCAUAGUUGACUGCAGCCUCAAACUCCCAGGCUCAAACAAUCCUCCCACCUCAGCCUCCCGAGCAGCUGGGACUACAGAUGCACACCACAACACUCGGCUAAUGUUUUUUUCUUUUUGGUAGAGACAGGAUCUCACUAUGUUGUCCAAGUCACUCUCAGACUUCUGGCUUCGAGUGAUACUCCCUCCUUAGCCUCCCAAAGUGCUAAGAUUACAGACAUGAGCACCUGGCACUGCGUUUUGUUGUUGUUGUUGUUUUGUUUUGUUUUGUUUUUCUGAGAUGGAGUCUCGCCCUGUCGCCCAGGCUGGAGUGCAGUGGCGCAAACUCGGCUCACUGCAAGCUCUGCCUCCCGGGUUUACGCCAUUCUCCUGUCUCAGCCUCCCGAGUAGCUGGGACUACAGGCGCCCGCCACCAUGCCCGGAUAAUUUUUUGUAUUUUUUAGUAGAGACGAAGUUUCACCGUGUUAGUCAGGAUGGUCUCGAUCUCCUGACCUCGUGAUCCACCCAUCUCGGCCUCCCAAAGUGCUGGGAUUACAGGCGUGAGCCACCGCGCCUGGCUGGCACUGCAUUUUAUCUUUUAAAAUAGGCGGUUCCCCAUCAGAAUAUGAACUCAUUUAAGGGCAAGGACUAUAUCUUAAAUAUCUUUUGUACCUUUGCACGGUGACCAAGACAUAGUAAAUGCUCAAAAAACAUUUAAUGAAUGAAUGAAUUAAUUAAUAAACUCUUGUGUGAUGGAAUUCUCUGGCUGUGUCUUUCCUGUGUCUCUGCUGGAGUAACAGGUGCUGGGAUAUGGCAGCUUGCCCAGCCACCUCGUUGCUCCUCCGUGUUGCCUCGUG
rnacentral:lncRNA from 1 species